GGUUUUAACCCAGUAUCUCAAGGUACUAAGGGCGUACGACCUACCACUCGUGGUUGCGUCGAAAACCUCAAUUUUUGGACAGCCUUCCCGGGGUAUCCGAGAGGGCAGAA
rfam:Ancylostoma duodenale strain Zhejiang A_duodenale-1.0_Cont244786.1, whole genome shotgun sequence.